rnacentral:misc_RNA from 1 species
GAUGAAGAACGCAGCAAAAUGCGAUAAGUAAUGUGAAUUGCAGAAUUCAGUGAAUCAUCGAAUCUUUGAACGCACAUUGCGUCCGCCAGUAUUCUGGCGGGCAUGCCUGUUCGAGCGUCAUUUCAACCCUCAAGCCCUCGGGUUUGGUGUUGGGGAUCGGCGAGCCUUUCUGGCAAGCCGGCCCCGAAAUCUAGUGGCGGUCUCGCUGCAGCCUCCAUUGCGUAGUAGUAAAACCCUCGCAACUGGAACGCGGCGCGGCCAAGCCGUUAAACCCCCAACUUCUGAAUGUUGACCUCGGAUCAGGUAGGAAUACCCGCUGAACUUAAGCAUAUCAAUAAGCGGAGGA